CCUACGCGGGGCUGCAGUGAGGAAUAUUGGUCACUGGGCGCGAGCCUGAACCAGCCAAGUAGCGUGAAGGAUGACUGCCCUACGGGUUGUAAACUUCUUUUAUCAAGGAAUAAAGUUAGGCACGUUUUCCUUUUUGUAUGUACUUUAUGAAUAAGGAUCGGCGAACUCCGUGCCAGCAGCCGCGGUAAUACGGAGGAUCCGAGCGUUAUCCGGAUUGAUUGGGUUUAAAGGGAGCGUAGAUGGGUUGUUAAGUCAGUUGUGAAAGUUUGCGGCUCAACCGUAAAAUUGCAAUUGAUACUGGCAGUCUUGAGUACAGUUGAGGUAGGCGGAAUUCGUGGUGUAGCGGUGAAAUGCUUAGAUAUCACGAAGAACUCCGAUUGCGAAGGCAGCUGACUAAACUGCCACUGACAUUGAUGCUCGAAAGUGUGGGUAUCAAACAGGAUUAGAUACCCGAGUAGUC
rnacentral:rRNA from 1 species